GAAUUUGCUGCUUUAGAGGCACGGCAUUUAGUGUCACAUUGUAGGUUUAAAUUGGUUGUAGAAUUUAUAUUCUAACUUGCAUAUUUAUUUAGUUGAGUUUAAUCUAAGUUUAUAUUUGAUGUGUUUGUAUUAUUUUAGAAUUUACUGUUUUAGACACGUGGCAUGUGGUAUCCCACUAAUUAGCUAUUUUAAACAUGUGACAAGUGGUAUGACACUGUAUUGAUGUAUGUGAA
rnacentral:lncRNA from 1 species